UAGCCUACGGGAGGCAGCAGUGAGGAAUAUUGGUCAAUGGGAGAGAUCCUGAACCAGCCAAGCCGCGUGAGGGAAGACGGCCCUAUGGGUUGUAAACCUCUUUUGUCGGAGAACAAAACCCGGGACGCGUCCCGGCCUGCGUGUAUCCGAAGAAAAAGCAUCGGCUAACUCCGUGCCAGCAGCCGCGGUAAUACGGAGGAUGCGAGCGUUAUCCGGAUUUAUUGGGUUUAAUGGGUGCGUAGUCGGUCCGUUAAGUCAGCGGUACAACUGCGGGGCUCAACCCCGUCGAGCCGUUGUAACUGGCA
rnacentral:rRNA from 1 species